AUCAGCCCAGCCGUUCGGCGGUCCAGCUCAAGCCGAACGGCUGGUAAGUCCAGCCUACCUACCAGCCGCCUAUGCUUUAGGGUCCACAGAUUACUGCGCUGCCCCGCAUCCGCCCCCAUCCGCCCCCGACGGCGCCGUCCGGGCUGCCCCACGCCUCCGCCGCUCCCCUAGGCGGUGCCACCCGACCGCCCAGCGCUGCCGUCGUUCUCUUCGGCGGCCCCUCCCCCCACCGCAUCCGUCGCGGCGUCCGCCCCCGCCGGCGCUGCAAGGGAUCGUGGUCGCCACCACCCUCCACGCCGCACCUAGAUCAGAGGGAGAAGAGGGGGCCCUGCAGGACGAGCGUCGAGGAGGCGCGCCGCCAGAAAGAAGGUGCCCACGAAGUCGGCGCCCCGUACGGCGGCGACGACGACGUAGCAGCUCAGCCUGCACUGCGUCGGCCCAUCUCGGCAACACCUCUCCACGGCGCCACCACUGACCUCCGCGAGCCGUCCGAUUUGAAGUGCGUCAAGUUUAUUCAGCUGCUUUCAGAUUUGAAGUACGUCACGUUUAGUCAGCCCCCGGGCACUGAUGACCAUUCUGCUGCUGUUUGGCCUCAAGUAUAACAUGAAGUCAGUCAAGGGCUGUGAGAGGCUUUACUCUUGAGGAGCUGAAGGUACUAUCACAAUAUUACAUCAAACACCUUACUGAGUUUAGAGGCUAUGGCAUGCCAUGGAGUGUAGACCCUUAUCUAUUCCAGUACAUGUGCUACCUAUGUUCAUAAGUUGGUCUGAAUCGACAUUUCGACUUCUGCACCAGAUAUUUCAAUGUGAUUGGAUCUGUGUGACAUCC